GGGGCUAUAGCUCAGCUGGGAGAGCGCCUGCCUUGCACGCAGGAGGUCUGCGGUUCGAGUCCCGCAUAGCUCCACCA
rnacentral:tRNA from 1 species